rnacentral:rRNA from 1 species
UCUACGGGUGGCAGCAGUCGAGAAUCUUUCACAAUGGGGGAAACCCUGAUGGUGCGACGCCGCGUGGAGGAAUGAAGGUCUUCGGAUUGUAAACCCCUGUCAUGUGGGAGCAAAUUAAAAAGAUAGUACCACAAGAGGUAGAGACGGCUAACUCUGUGCCAGCAGCCGCGGUAAUACAGCGGUCUCAAUCGUUGUUCGGAAUCACUGGGCGUAAAGCGUGCGUAGGCUGUUUCGUAUGUCGGGUGUGAAAGGCGAGGGCUCAACCGUAGGACGGAACUUGAUACUGCGAGACUAGAGUAAUGGAGGGGGAACCGGAAUUCUCGGUGUAGCAGUGAAAUGCGUAGAUAUCGAGAAGAACACUCGUGGCGAAGGCAGGUUCCUAGACAUUAACUGACGCUGAGGCACGAAGGCCAGGGGAGCGAAAGGGAUUAGAUACCCGAGUAGUC